rnacentral:rRNA from 1 species
AACGAACGCUGGCGGCAUGCCUAACACAUGCGAGUCGAACGAUGCCUUCGGGCAUAGUGGCGCACGGGUGCGUAACGCGUGGGAAUCUGCCUUUCGGUUCGGAAUAACUCAGGGAAACUUGAGCUAAUACCGGAUAACGUCGCAAGACCAAAGAUUUAUCACCGAAAGAUGAGCCCGCGCAGGAUUAGCUAGUUGGUGAGGUAAAGGCUCACCAAGGCGACGAUCCUUAGCUGGUCUGAGAGGAUGAUCAGCCACACUGGGACUGAGACACGGCCCAGACUCCUACGGGAGGCAGCAGUGGGGAAUAUUGGACAAUGGGCGAAAGCCUGAUCCAGCAAUGCCGCGUGAGUGAUGAAGGCCUUAGGGUUGUAAAGCUCUUUUACCCGGGAAGAUAAUGACGGGACCGGGAGAAUAAGCCCCGGCUAACUCCGU